CACUCAAGAAAAUGAUUAUAAAUAGCAUAGACAGCCGGGCACUGUGUGCCUCCUCUAUAAAAAGGAGCAGCGGGUUGGGAAAAGGGCUGCCUUGGGAGAAGGACGGAAGAGGCUGUCUCUUUGGGUUUUAUUUUUGUCCGAAGCUAUCCAUGCUUCUGUACUGUGACAGUGAAAUCCUCCAAGCAAGGAGCUUACAGAUGGCCUGGUAACAUGAAGGUCACGGACACGGAAACCCAAGCCAGCAGGAGAGAUCUGUUCAGUGGGACACAGAAUAUAACCAGAAGGAUUUCAAGUACAAAAGGAGAGAAAUGAACUAAUUUUGCCGAUUGAAACUCAGCGAAAUGUUUGCUCACGUGAUCAAAGAAACGGAACCAAUCCCUAGGAGGCAUCUGGCAGUUGCACCAUGACUUCCUCCAGCUUCUGGGCCUCCUCCACGACUUUGCCCGAGAGCUGCUUACACUCCUUCACCAGCAUCAAGACCA